rnacentral:ncRNA from 1 species
AUGACGUGUGCGGGAGAGCCCCGCACCGCCGCGCACGCGGGUCGGGCACCGAAGGAGCAAGCCUCCCCGCCAAUCUCUCAGGUCCGCGUACCGCCCACGUCCG